rnacentral:rRNA from 1 species
GUAGGUGGCAAGCGUUGUCCGGAAUUAUUGGGCGUAAAGCGCGCGCAGGCGGUUCUUUAAGUCUGAUGUGAAAGCCCACGGCUCAACCGUGGAGGGUCAUUGGAAACUGGAGAACUUGAGUACAGAAGAGGAAAGCGGAAUUCCACGUGUAGCGGUGAAAUGCGUAGAGAUGUGGAGGAACACCAGUGGCGAAGGCGGCUUUUCUGGUCUGUAACUGACGCUGAGGCGCGAAAGCGUGGGGAGCAAACAGGGAUUAGAUACCCUGGUAGUCCACGCCGUAAACGAUGAGUGCUAAGUGUUAGGGGGUUUCCGCCCCCUUAGUGCUGCAGCUAACGCAUUAAGCACUCCGCCUGGGGAGUACGGCCGCAAGGCCG